rnacentral:rRNA from 1 species
CGCGUAGGCGGUGUUUUAAGUGAGAUGUGCAAUCCCCGGGCUUAACCUGGGAACUGCAUCUCAGACUGGAACGCUAGAGUACUGGAGAGGGUGGUAGAAUUCCACGUGUAGCGGUGAAAUGCGUAGAGAUGUGGAGGAAUACCAGUGGCGAAGGCGGCCACCUGGACAGUAACUGACGCUGAGGCGCGAAAGUGUGGGUAGCAAACAGGAUUAGAUACCCUGGUAGUCCACGCUGUAAACGAUGAACACUUGGUGUGGUGGGAGUUGACCCCCGCCGUGCCGUAGCUAACGCGAUAAGUGUUCCGCCUGGGGAGUACGGUCGCAAGGCUGAA